AUUGAACGCUGGCGGCAUGCCUUACACAUGCAAGUCGAACGGCAGCACGGGAGCAAUCCUGGUGGCGAGUGGCGAACGGGUGAGUAAAGUAUCGGAACGUGCCCAGUCGUGGGGGAUAACGUAGCGAAAGUUACGCUAAUACCGCAUACGAUCUAUGGAUGAAAGCGGGGGAUCGCAAGACCUCGCGCGAUUGGAGCGGCCGAUAUCAGAUUAGGUAGUUGGUGGGAUAAAAGCUUACCAAGCCGACGAUCUGUAGCUGGUCUGAGAGGACGACCAGCCACACUGGGACUGAGAUACGGCCCAGACUCCUACGGGAGGCAGCAGUGGGGAAUUUUGGACAAUGGGCGCAAGCCUGAUCCAGCCAUGCCGCGUGCAGGAUGAAGGCCUUCGGGUUGUAAACUGCUUUUGUACGGAACGAAAAAGCUCUCUCUAAUACAGGGGGUGAAUGACGGUACCGUAAGAAUAAGCACCGGCUAACUACGUGCCAGCCGCCGCAGUAACAC
rnacentral:rRNA from 1 species